UAGAGAACCCAAGAUCACCUCCCAUCUCAAGAUCUGUAAUUUAAUUACAUCGAAGCAAUCCCUUUUUACUAUAUAAGGUGUCAUUCACAGGUUCUGGAGAUGAGGACAUGAAUAUCCUGGAUCUAUCCUGGGGCUACUAUUCAGCCAACCAUAGUAUCUUUUGCAACUCCGUCUUGGUAGCUGUAAUCUUUUUCUGUGCAAGUAGAUUUCUGCCCCCAGGAGAGAUUCUUCAAAGCCAACUCUGACCAAGACAUACCCCGCAUAUAACUCUAGGGUGGUUCCUGGGAUUUAAAGACCCAAGUCCAGCUCCCAUUCUGCAGUCGGUGGCACUGGCCUCUGGGUUCCCUUCUCACAGCUCUUCCACUGCCAUCCAGCACCCUCAGCUCACCCCCUUGUCAUUCCCUUAAGUAAUGUUUCACUCACCUGCUGUGUCUGUGCUCAUUCUGGACCUGCUGUCCAGGUCCAGGUCACUUUCUCUGAUGGCCCAGUCUCCUGCAGCUUGCUGCUCAUGUCUCCAGCAUUAACAGAUAUAUGAGUUGUUGCUGCCUGACUCCCUGGGUAGGAACCUACUCACUCCUCUCUGUACUCACCUGCCUGGCUGACACAACCCCGAUGUGCAUGAAUGUGAGUAAAGAUUAACAGCCUGUAUCUCAGGGCCAGGUAUAGAGCAGGUUCUUGGAAAAUGUGAAUAGUGUUCUCUUUUUACUAUAAUGCCCUGUUUCCUGAGUUGCCAUUUAAAGGAACUAUGUAGUACUGUUGGUUUCCUUUCUCAACUUUCUGCCUGAAAAUUGGGAAUAAAUCCCAGUAUUCUCUGCACACCCACGCAUGGGUACACAAAAACACAUAGACCUUUCCCUUGGGCAGACAAGCCAGGGGUCUGACAGCGCAUAGGAGUAGAUAAAGUCACCUUCCAUAAAAACAAGACUACCUUUCCUUCCCUUUAUUUCCUGGUCCCAUUUUGUCCUUCCCAAGGGACUAUGAGCCUCAGGGAUGGAAUUGUGCAACCAGUGCUGCUCCCAUUCUUGGGAGAUCGGAACUCUGGAAUUCUUAGCAAGAAGUGGCAGAAUUCCAGUGGGCAGAGGCCCUGGAACUUGAGGCGCUGGUGAGGUCACAUGUGUGUCUUUGUCAUCCACUUGCAUAGACAAAAUUCCUCACUGGGUGUGAUCCCCCACCCCCACCCCAGUGGGAGGAAAAUUAAGACACCAGCUCUCAGGAGAGAGGAGAUGAAUGUACAGUCGAGAUAAUGCAGUAUACUUUGGAUUAAGACCCAACAUUCAGGCUGAAGCUCUAUUCCACAUAAGUGAGACUAUGCGGUACUUGUCUUUCUCAGUCUGGCUUAUUUGAAUUAGUGCAAUGGCCCAUCUGUGCUGUCACAAAUGGGCAAACUCCAGAGGAAACAUGGUAGAAGUGAGCAUGCAAGAAGAGUCUGGGACAGGCUUAUCUGCGUGGUUACUGAUAUAACGCUGUAAGACCUAUGAGUUGUCCUACCCAGUGUGCAGGCAAGAGUGACAAUGUAAAUGGUGAGUGCAGUUUGUGGGGUCUGCCCCACUGUCCCUCAUGGAAAGCUCUGUUUAAGGAGUCAAAAGUUACCUUGCCCACUAUGUGGAUUAUUAGUGCAGAUCCUCCAGAUUUUGUAAUAAGCAAAGUUUUCUCCCUGGAGUUCCAAGGCAGGACCAGAGGCCAGAGUGGGUCUCCUGUUUGGUGCCAUGCACAUGAGGUAGUGACAGAUCCAGGGUACCUGGUGCUGCCGCUUCAUGACAUGGAUGAUCCUGGCAGGCAGGCAGGCUGCAGGUCAUCACCAUCCCUUGCAGAAGUGACCUAGCACUGGGAUGAGACAGCUCAGGUGGACCCAGAGAACUUGGCUGAGGAGCUAUGGAA